rnacentral:lncRNA from 1 species
AUUAAAAUAAUUUAUAUUGUAUUACAUACAGUCACGUAAUAAAUAAAACAUUGCACAAAGAAUACAACUACAUUCGUACACUAAAUUAAGUCAUAUUGUAUCUGUACAGUUAAAUGCAUAAAAAAGGAAAACAAUGGUGUAGUGUAAUAGAACACCAGACAUUAUCAAGUUACAUACAUUCGUAUAUCGGACCCAUUUACUCCGAAACAGUCCUCGUCAGUAUUGCACGAAGAACACAGCAUUUCAUGUUGAAUUAUCAAAUAACAAUUAUUAUGCAUAAUGUACACUAAAAUUAGUGCAAAUAAAUUGCAUUAAAAAUCAAUGCAACAAAC